rnacentral:rRNA from 1 species
AGGAUGAACGCUGGCGGCGUGCCUAAUACAUGCAAGUCGAGCGGUAAGGUUCUCACUCUGUAUUUAACGAGUUUGAAUAUAGUGUGAGAAUACACGAGCGGCGGACGGCUGAGUAACGCGUAGGAACGUACCCCAAACUGAGGCAUAAGCUCCGGAAACGGAGUCUAAUACCGCAUAAUAUCUUCGGAUUAAAGCUUCGGCGGUUUGGGAGCGGCCUGCGUAAGAUUAGCUUGUUGGUGAGGUAAAAGCUCACCAAGGCGACGAUCUUUAGCUGGUCUGAGAGGAUGACCAGCCAGACUGGAACUGAGAUACGGUCCAGACUCCUACGGGAGGCAGCAGUAGGGAAUUUUCCACAAUGGACGAAAGUCUGAUGGAGCAACGCCGCGUGCAGGAGGAAGGUCUUCGGAUCGUAAACUGCUUUUAUUGUGACGAUUUUGACGGUAACAAAUGAAUAAGGGUCUGCUAACUACGUGCCAGCAGCCGCGGU